AUUUAAUGAAUGUUUUAUUAAUAAGCUCAGUGGUUUGAAAGUGAGAAGUGACAACGCUGUUCGAAAUAAAACAUUUGUGUCUUCAACGCGAGAGAAUGCUGCCAUACGGGAAAAUAAAAAUUUUGCGUUCAGGGUUAGAAGACGUUCCUUAUGAGAUCAAUGGUAUUCGAGAUCUACAACUAAAGGAAAUGAUUGGCGACAUUUGUGGAACAGCGACGUAAGCUAUCGAACAGCUAUCAAAACGGAAUGAGUAGUUUAUAAAUGCCAAAUGAAAACAUCAGCGCACCGAAUGGAAUUUGCAGUACAAUUGAAGGAACAACGUCUCCUACGCGUCAGUGCGACGCAGUGUAAAUUUAUAUAUAUGGAAUUUUGUAAACGACACCUUACAUUCGCUAUUCAUC